rnacentral:rRNA from 1 species
CCUACGGGGGGCAGCAGUGAGGAAUAUUGGUCAAUGGGCGGGAGCCUGAACCAGCCAAGUCGCGUGAGGGAAGACGGUCCUAUGGAUUGUAAACCUCUUUUGUCGGGGAGGAAAGAGAUCACGUGUGGUCAAAAGCGAGAGUACCCGAAGAAAAAGCAUCGGCUAACGCCGUGCCAGCAGCAGCGGUAAUACGGAGGAUGCGAGCGUUAUCCGGAUUUAUUGGGUUUAAAGGAUGCGGAGGCGGGACGGUAAGUCAGCGGUAAAAAAGCGGAGUU